rnacentral:lncRNA from 1 species
CUGACACCUCCUUGUGUUCCUCCGUUGGUUCCCAGGACGACACCUCCUUGUGUUCCUCCGUUGGUUCCCAGGACGACACCUCCCUGUAAAUUUCUGUCAGCUCCCAGGCCGACACCUUCUAGUGGUCCUCCGUCGGCUCCCAGGCCGACACCUCCCUGGGAACCUCCGUCGGCUCCCAGGCUGACACCUCCCUGUGAACGUCCAUCGGCUCCCAGGCCGACAGCCCCAAGUGAUCCUCCUUCAGUGGCCCUGACAAGGUCCAGGAGGGUUUUCCAGUUAGUGGUUUGGCACUCAGAGGGUCUCAGCCUUCAUCUCCACUGCCGGCUUCCAGGAGGUCCCAGUCUACACCCCCGGCCUCCAGAGGGCCUAGCCUUCACCGCCAGCUUCCAGAGGGUCCCAGCCUUCAUCUUCGCGACUGGCCUCCUGAAGGUCUCAGCAUUCGUCUUCACCGCCAGCUUCCUGAGGACCCUCGUCUUUGCCACUGGCCUCCAGAAGGCCUUCGCCUACGUCGUCGCCGCUGGCAUCCAGAGGGCUUCCACCUUUGCCGCCAGCCUCCAAAGAGCUCCGGCCUUCGCCUACACCGCUGGCUUCCUGAGGAUUUACGUCUUCGCCGCCGGCCUCCAGAGGGCUUUCGCCUUCGCCGGCGGAUUCCAGAGGGUCUCAGCCUUCAUCUUCGCCGCCAGCUUCCAGUGGGUCAAAGCCCAUGCCCCCGGCCUCCAGAGGGCCUUCGCCUUCACUGCCAAUCUCCAGAGGUCUUCUGACGUCACCGCACCCACCGGCUUCCAGUGGACUUCCACCUUCGCCACUGGCCUUUGCUGCCAGCCUGCAGAGGGUUUCAGCUUUCGUCUUCGCCGCCGGCUUCCAGUAGGUCCCAGCCUACGUCGACUCUUCUUUCGGUCUCCUAGGGGUCUCAGCCUUCAACCUCGCAGUCGGCCUCUGCCUCCGUCGGCUCCCAGGCCGACACCUCCCUGGGAACCUCUGUCAGCUCCCUGGCUGACACCUCCCUGUGAACCUCCAUCGGCUCCCAGGCCGACAGCCCCCAGUGAUCCUACUUCGGUGGCCCUGACGAGGUCCAGGAGGGUCUUCGCCGCCAGCUUCCUGAGGGCCCUCUUCUUCACCACUGGCCUUUAG